GGUGAGUGCCAGCAGGAAAAGGCUGAGCGGUCUGGUGGGAACCUAUUUGGGGCAGGGGGAGGGGCGGAGGAGCGAGACCCAAUCUAGCUCCGGAGCCCUUGGAGAAAGUUUGCGCAACACGUCUCUGUCCAGCCAUCCAGGCAGGCAGGCAGGCCAGAAUAAUGCUUCCCCAGGAGAGAGCCGAGGCAAGCUGAAGUCAGUGCACCUAGCGGUGUGGGCUCCCGGCACCACUCUCCCCACUGGGUAGCUGGUGACUAAUGGAUGAGCCUCUCCAGUUCUGUUCUGUUCCCACCCAAAGUCCGCUAAUAGGACCGUAAUUAAGAUGAAAUGAAGAGGUCGAAGACUGCAUGCUAGGUUUCUGCAGCAACAUCCAGAAAGUUGAGGGCGCCACACUCUCCAAGGGGUCUGCGGAAGCGGGAGUUUGGGGCUGCGAUUUUCAGGGCACUAUGGAUGCUCAGAUGCAAGCUGCAAGAAACCUAACACGCCCCUUGCAAAAGCUGCAGGUACUCCACGUCAGUGUACAGCUGCCUCUUGCAGGGUUCUGCAGACCUCACCCUUCUCGUGGCCAGACACCCUGUGAUGAAUUUUGGCCUGGGAUCCGUUAUUAUGUGAGAGACUUACAAUGAUUUUAAUCAUGGUGGUGUUAUUAAGUCACGGAGAUGUUAAAUACCCUGCUCAAAGUCACUCACUUGGGAAAUGUCCAGAGCUGGGAUUUGAACCCAUCCUCUGAGUACUGUCCCUGACACAGACGACGUGCUCAAUAACCUUUGCUAUUAUGCUAUAAUUAGUGUUCUUUUGUAAUUAGUAAACUAGAGAUAAACAGAAAUAUAUGUAUCAUUUAGCUCAAAAUUUCCUUCACUUGUUUGAAUAUCGAAUUAGUGCCAUACAUAUCUAGUGGUACCUCUACUCUGUUAAUUACUUCUUUUACUGUGCAGAAGCUUUUUAGUUUAAUAAAUGCCAUUUGCAUAUUUUU
rnacentral:lncRNA from 10 species